AACGAACGCUGGCGGCAGGCUUAACACAUGCAAGUCGAGCGAGACCUUCGGGUCUAGCGGCGGACGGGUGAGUAACGCGUGGGAACGUGCCCUUCUCUACGGAAUAGCCCCGGGAAACUGGGAGUAAUACCGUAUACGCCCUUUGGGGGAAAGAUUUAUCGGAGAAGGAUCGGCCCGCGUUGGAUUAGGUAGUUGGUGGGGUAAUGGCCCACCAAGCCGACGAUCCAUAGCUGGUUUGAGAGGAUGAUCAGCCACACUGAGACUGAGACACGGCCCAGACUCCUACGGGAGGCAGCAGUGGAGAAUCUUAGACAAUGGGGGCAACCCUGAUCUAGCCAUGCCGCGUGAGUGAUGAAGGCCUUAGGGUUGUAAAGCUCUUUCAGCUGGGAAGAUAAUGACGGUACCAGCAGAAGAAGCCCCGGCUAACUCCGUG
rnacentral:rRNA from 1 species